GCCUCCUUCCUUCCCUCCUUGCACCAGCAGCCGUCCUCCCCGCAGCCGCAUCUCUUCUUCCUCCAAACCGGCAGCAACAGCCGGCUUUUCUUUCCCCACGCAAGCAGCAGCCACAGCACACUCUCCUCCUCCCUCGCUGUGUCUCGCCAGCAGCAGCCAUGAUCGCUGCCUUCUCCACAAUCGCCAGCAGCCGCCACGGUCUAGACGCUUGGUGUUAACCGUCUAGUCUUCACUCCUUUCUAAUUACCCCAUUGUUCCCAGUUUAUAAGAGGAAAGUAGACCCCUUAGUUGGGCGAUUUUUGUAACUUGUGGUCGUGCAUUGACGCUUGCAGCAGGAGGAUCAUAGCUUGGCAUGUCAGGUAUAGGAGCUUCUUUUGCUUUGCGUUGGGGAAAGAGCGGAGUACGAUCGUAACAAUUGUGUAUAAAUCGUCUUAAUGCUUGUAGCUUCCAUGAUACUUGUAAAGUUUUCUUUUGGGGUUGUAAAAUUUCUUUUGUAUGGAGCCAUGUGACUCCUCGUAUGAUCCAUAGAUCCGCUGCGUAGUUUUAGAUGUACAGUAGGGAGAAUACUCCUUUAGUAUCCGUCAGAUCGAUGCGUUAACACUUGAACCACGAUCCUCGUUAGAGUUGAAGUUUUGUGAAGCCGACGAUGAUUUGUUCCGUCGUGACGUAUUCUUUUGAAAGGCGUUAUAGGCC